rnacentral:tRNA from 1 species
GGAGGGGUGGCAGAGCGGUUGAAUGCACCGGUCUUGAAAACCGGCGAAGAUUAAUAGUCUUCCGAGAGUUCGAAUCUCUCCUCCUCCGCCA